CUCCCUGUGGUGUAGUGGCUAUCACGUCGGGCUGUAAUUAGUCCCCAUCAAGUUUAACCUGAAGGUCACCGGUUCAAUUCCGGUCGGGGAGA
rfam:Stachybotrys chartarum IBT 40288 unplaced genomic scaffold scaffold753, whole genome shotgun sequence.